AAGUCGUAACAAGGUUUCCGUAGGUGAACCUGCGGAAGGAUCAUUACAGUGUUUGCUGCCCUCACGGGUAGCAACCCUCACCCUUGUGUAUUAUAUCUUUGUUGUUUUGGCACGCCACCUUAGGGUACCGGCCUUGGCUGGCUCGCGCGUGUCAGAAGCUCUAAAACUCUGAAUGUUAAUGUCGUCUGAGUACUAUUUAAUAGUUAAAACUUUCAACAACGGAUCUCUUGGUUCUG
rnacentral:misc_RNA from 1 species